rnacentral:rRNA from 1 species
UACGUAGGGUGCAAGCGUUACUCGGAAUUACUGGGCGUAAAGCGUGCGCAGGCGGUUUUGUAAGUCUGUCGUGAAAUCCCCGGGCUCAACCCGGGAACUGCGUCCGAUACUGGAGGGCUCGAAUCCGGGAGAGGGAUGUGGAAUUCCAGGUGUAGCGGUGAAAUGCGUAGAUAUCUGGAGGAACACCGGUGGCGAAGGCGGCAUCCUGGACCGGUAUUGACGCUGAGGCGCGAAAGCCAGGGGAGCAAACGGG